rnacentral:misc_RNA from 1 species
GGGUAUGCAUUAUUGGUUACAAUUUACAAAGGCGUUGAAUAACCUCUGUUCUCAAUCAUUCCUUGAGUAAUCCACUAGGAGUAAAAUUCUUAUCUUUUUUUGGUGUCUAUGGUGAUGGACAAUGGUGGCAUUUCAAUGGAUGACAUGAAGAGAUUCAGUAAUUGUUUGAACUUGCAUUUUAAAUGAGAACAUAUGGUUCUGGUGGACAAUUUUUGUGUGUAGAAGUUUUGGACCAGCUACCACUAAAAGUAUAUUUGUGGAUGCUAUA